rfam:Pteropus alecto contig101377, whole genome shotgun sequence.
GGUUCCAUAGUGUAGUGGUUAGCAUGUCUGCUUUACACGCAGAAGGGCCUGGGUUCAUGUCCCAGGUGGAGCCA